AUUGCCCUCCCUUACUCCAGAACCCGUGGGUUAGUGCGGUGUCCUGGCAUUGACUGGGCAUAUAGCAGAGCCGCUGUCCUGCUGUGCUCACCUGCGGCAGCACUGUGCCGUGGGGGGACAUCGGAGAGCGGACAGC